rnacentral:rRNA from 2 species
AGAGUUUGAUCCUGGCUCAGAACGAACGCUGGCGGCGUGCUUAACACAUGCAAGUCGAACGUGAUCCGGAGCUUGCUCCGGUGAAAGUGGCGCACGGGUGAGUAACGCGUGGAUAAUCUGCCCUGGUAUCUGGGAUAACAUCUCGAAAGGGGUGCUAAUACCGGAUAAGCCUACGGGAUCCUCGGAUUCUGCAGGAAAAGGUGGCCUCUAUUUAUAAGCUACCGUAUCAGGAUGAGUCCGCGUACCAUUAGCUAGUUGGUGGGGUAAUGGCCUACCAAGGCGACGAUGGUUAGCUGGUCUGAGAGGAUGAUCAGCCACACUGGAACUGAGACACGGUCCAGACUCCUACGGGAGGCAGCAGUGGGGAAUUUUGCGCAAUGGGGGAAACCCUGACGCAGCAACGCCGCGUGAGUGAUGAAGGCUUUCGGGUCGUAAAGCUCUGUCAGAGGGGAAGAAAUGAAACGUGCUAAUAUCACGUUUUCUUGACGGUACCCUCAAAGGAAGCACCGGCUAACUCCGUGCCAGCAGCCGCGGUAAUAC